GUGUUUUCUACAAGGAGGACAUGAACAACUGAAUUAUUCUCUCUUUAGCCCCUUCCUUCAUUUUACUGGUAAACCUUCCAGCAGCUGGUUUGAGCUCGGCUAACUUGCAUUGGAAUAGGUCUAUACGAAACGGCUAUUGCCCUGCACGUCUGGAAAUUCGCCCACUUUGCUCUAUCUUGUCAGAGGAAUUCACAUACCUAGGUAUAACCUUUGCAUUGUAAAACGUUUAAGCAAGUAACGGUAAAACAACCGCAGUUAGCCUGACUAGCAUAGCUAAAUGGAUGGGCUGACUGAGUUACUGACCUGCAAAGCUGGCCGUAUCUUUGAGGAACUUUCAACGAAGGGUGAGGGCUGAAUCCAGAAGAAAUGUGACAUUCACUGAUGGAAUGGGAUGGCACCUGUGACAUAUGAAGUUAAAUUGACGACACCAAAAACAAUUUGACUCUGGGACAGCCCUAAGCUCUCGCAAACUUAGCAGGAGUGUGCCUCAAAGUCUGUGAGUGGGGACACUAGGGGUUAGGCCUUUUAGUCCAUGAGCCAGGGGGGUUGAUCGGUAUCAUCGGGGGGACAAAUGCUAUCAUUGUUUUUUGGCAAGGUAUACAGCCCUAGUACUAGAAAAAUCACGAUAGCAGUGCAGGGGUGGUAGCGAAAUCAUCAAUUUUUUCAGCUCAUGAAGUUACUAACCCCCUAAGAUAAAUUCCGUUUUUAAAAUCUGGUGUAUAUCUUGUUUGUGCUCAUGGUAGGGAUAUUGUCAAUAUUCUAUAAUAUGGUGCUUGGUAUCAUUGGAAAGGGGACCUUUUAGGCUUUCAUUUAAGCCCAGUGCUGAAUCUGUCUGACAAACACAGGCGCCACAUGACUUCUUUAAACCAGAAAUAACACACAUUUUCUCACA